AACCGGGUUGAGCUCAAUUAGAGCGGUAGGAAAGAAAAAGCCUUCAAAUAGCCGGUGAUAUCCGACGGUUUAGGGUUGCCAGAGCUAGAGCUUAGGGUAAACGGCGAAACUUAUUUUCGAGUUCGUUCGCAUACAACGUACUACGGAACAGUUUUUAUUUCCCACAAAUCUCGAAAAUAAAGCUGCAACGAGCAACCUAAACCUGGAACCGAUGAUGGAAGGCCCUACCGGAGAGCUGUACAGCUGCGUGACAUGUCGCCGCCCAGAUUCAGCGCAGAGCAUGGUCGCUUGUGACGAGUGUUCGCAAUGGCAACAUUAUGGAUGCGCCGGUGUUACGGCUACCAUAGCCGAUCGAAGCUGGCUCUGCUGCAGAUGCGUAGCUAGUCACAACGCAGUUAAUUUUACUCAAACCGGCAACAUAAACUCGCCCGAAGCACGCACAACAUUUGCUUCUGCUCGCGCGGUCGAUCGUGA